UACGUAGGGGCCAAGCGUUGUUCGGAUUUACUGGGCGUAAAGGGCGCGUAGGCGGCGUGGUAAGUCAGUUGUGAAAUCUCCGAGCUUAACUCGGAACGGCCAACUGAUACUGCUGUGCUAGAGUGCAGAAGGGGCAAUCAGAAUUCUUGGUGUAGCGGUGAAAUGCGUAGAUAUCAAGAGGAAUACCUGAGGUGAAGACGGGUUGCUAGGCUGACACUGACGCUGAGGCGCGAAAGCCAGGGGAGCAAACGGG
rnacentral:rRNA from 1 species